rnacentral:rRNA from 1 species
CGACUCUCGGCAACGGAUAUCUCGGCUCUUGCAUCGAUGAAGAACGUAGCGAAAUGCGAUACUUGGUGUGAAUUGCAGAAUCCCGUGAACCAUCGAGUCUUUGAACGCAAGUUGCGCCCGAGGCCUUCUGGUCGAGGGCACGUCUGCCUGGGCGUCACGCACAG